AGCGAGAGGAGGGGGAGGGGACCGAGAGGGCCAGUGGGUUGAGGGAGCGCGGGCGGCCUGAGCAGGAGGUGGCGGGCACCGGAGCCGGCAGAGCUGGAGGCUGAGGCCGGGUGGCGAUUCCUAGGAGCAGUUCAUUAGCUCCUCGAGAAAAGAGACUGCCAUGACACUGGACACUUGGUAAGCAUGGCAGAUUCCCCCUGGGCAUCUCAUCAGACACACCCUCUGACCCUUCCUGGAAGAGUUCUUGCUUGCUGGUCAGCUUCAGGACUCUCCCAAUUGCUUUUUCAAUCCUCCUUCUACAAAAAACAUGGAAGACGUAGCAAAGGGAGAUCAUUGAUGAUGGACUUUUAAGAUGUCAGCUCCCAAAAAGCAGGAGUCUAUAUAUAAUUUUUAAAUAAAUGCCCACGAAGAAUGGUUUUUCAAGAUGAGAUCAGUCAGAACUCUCUCU